UUAAAUACGCUAUGACGUCAUUCAACCAGAAUAAACCGGUUUCAUUAGUGCGCAAACAAAACAAGCUUGUUUAGGUUCUUUAGUCGGUAUUCUACAAAAUAUACGGAAAAUCACACCUAUUCUUCGAAAUAUCAACCCAGUCUGAUGAUGUCUCUGGUAAGGGCAAGUCGUAUCCUUGAUCGUGCUUGCUCAACAUGUGGCCAAAAUGCCAUAACAAGAUGCCUGUCAAUUUCAUGGCCAGUAGCAAAACAGAAAAGGCUAACUAAUGUUCAGGCUGGAUUCGAAGGAUUGCAUGCUGGGUUUGUUUGGGACAACAAACAUGGGUUUGGGUACAACAAAGAUGGUGAACUAGUUCUUGUGAGUGACGACUUCAAUGCUAAAGUCAGCACCAGUGUACCAGAUGAGACCUUUCCUGAAAACUACACUGAAACAUUACUAAAUGCUGCAAAGCAGACCUAUGAAUCCACCCAAGGCCAAAGAAAUCACAAGAAAUAGAGUACAAUAACCUUAUCAUAAUUUAUAUUUGGACACUGUUCUAUGUGCUGGCUGUUCACAAGUACCGAAAUAUUUGAAUCUGGAAAAUGGCAGUGUUGCUGAACUAGAUACAAGAUAUAGAUCAGAAUUUUUGGUCAUAUUCAAUACAUUUUCUUUCUGGCAUUUCAUUAUUUACAGCGAUAUGAUAUUCAUUUGGUUGAAUCCCUUUUGUACAUUUUAAAAUCAUUUUUAUAUUAUGGCAAGUUCAUUCAGCCUUUGAAGCAAUAAUAACUAAAGUUUAGGAAAGAUCAAAAGUAACUACAUGUCAUUAUAUAUAUUAUUAUGUAUAUAGAGAGUGCAAAUAAUAUACCCGUGAAAUAGUUAGGAUGAAAUAGGAGAUAGUUAGCUUUUAAUUAGACAAGACAUAGGAAUUCAGUGAGGCAUGACAAGGGCACAGGCGUUUACUAGAGUAACAACUCAAUAGGCAAAUGAAUAGAUACAAAAAUUCGAACAUGUCAAAUUAUACAAAGCAAAAGCAUGUACAACAAAAUAUUGUUUAAGUUUUUGUAAGUGUGUUUAAAAAUGUUUUAAAAUGCGCGCCCUUGAGUAGCACAGGUGCACUAGUUUACCCAUCAUGGCUCACCUAUUUUAACUAAUUAGACUUAGGCAACAGAAGGUUAGUAAUUAGUUAGCUAGCUAUCUAUUUUACAGGUAAAUUAUUUGCACUCUUUAAUUCCUAAACUUAAGUUAUUAUUAAUAUAUUUAUAUAUUAUAUUGUUUAGUAAUUAAAGUAGUAUGAGAGCGCAAUUUAUUUCAAAUUAUGAGAGGUAAUUAUUAUUUUGAUAUUAGAAAGUGAAUGAUUAUAUGAUUAUUUUAUGUAAAAAGUAUGAUUGAAUAAGAGUUUUCUGAAUUUCCUUGAGCUGCCAUGAAACAAUGGCUCCAAGUUGAAGUUGGACUUAAUAAUAAAAUCGAUAUUCUUGUUUAAGAUGUAAACUAAUUGAAGAAACCUUGAUAAAAAGUGUAAAUGUUAACACAUCAAGUCCAACUGUGAUUGGAGCUAUUAUAUAUUGGUCACUCAAGCAAAUCCAGGAAAGGUCUGUUGUAAAAGUAUUAGUAUUAAGUUACGUUUCAUAGAUCUUUUGAGCUUUGUUAUAAUGCUUUUCCAUUUCAAACCAUGAAGUCAUUCAUCCAAUAUUAUGAUUACUGAAGUGAACUUCGUGUUCUGAAAUCUUAAUGGAGAAUAAAGAAAUAAUACCAAAGCAAAUGACACUUGGUUUGGAAUGUAAAAUAUCAUGCCAAAGCUGAAAAUGUCUAUGGCUGUUAGUGCAACAAAAUCAGACAAAAUAAUUUUAUUUUCAACCAAAAACAAAUAGUAUUUUUUUUAACUUUUUCACUUUGACUAAGAACUUCCUCUUCGAUUCAAAUUUCUUAGGGGUAUAGGACUCUAAUGAUUUAGUCCUUUUAAUUAGUUUAGUUUUAAUUUAACUCCAAGGCUUUGUCUUUGCUAGUGUCCCACAGUGUUCAGUCUUGGGACUUUUUUGAUCAUCGCUCAAUCAUGUUUCUCAAAAUAAUUUAACAGUCAUAUUCAUCUGGCAGCCUCUGUUUAGACAAUACUAUUAAUAGGGUGUUCCACACAGUUCAUCAUUGGGACCUCUUUAAUGAUCGUACAAAUAUAUUUAUUUAAAGAAUUUUCACAAGAUUA